AUGACCUCCUGCAGAGAUGCUCGCCGCCUGUGCAGGGCCGUCUGUGCUGAGCUCGUGUCCUCCAGUCGUUGGUUGUCACCUGGUGAACGUGACGCUGCGUCAAUGACCUCCUGCAGAGAUGCUCGCCGCCUGUGCAGGGCCGUCUGUGCUGAGCUCGUGUCCUCCAGUCGUUGGUUGUCACCUGGUGAACGUGACGCUGCGUCAAUGACCUCCUGCAGAGAUGCUCGCCGCCUGUGCAGGUGUGUGUAAUGCUUGUAUUCUGUGGAUCACCUACACGUCCAGUCCUGCUGCCGUCGCUGUGAUGACGCUUUUUCCUGCCAUUCGUAGUUUCCUCCAGAGGUCUGCCGACCGGUGAUGGCCCAAUCCUUCCUUGGAUGUCUGAGCGAAUUGUGUUGUCGUUGUGACGUCCGCUCAGUUUUAUGUUCGCUGACGUGUCUUUGUCCUGCAGGUCGACUGUAAACCAGGAGCUGCUCCGAGGACCCAGAAGAUUUCUCCACGUUUCUCUUCUCAAAGAAAUAAAAAAUGAAACUGAACUCGUUGAAUUGUUUGUUGUGAUUGUGCAGCAUUAGAUGAACUCGUG
rnacentral:lncRNA from 1 species